rnacentral:tRNA from 1 species
CCUGUAGCUUAGUCAGGCGGAGCGUCUGGCUCAUAACCAGAUGGUCGCCGGUUCAAACCGAAGGCCAGCG